AGCAAGAUGCCUGAUUAAAGGAUUACUUUGAUGUAGUAAAACAAGUGAAAACCUCACUCAUGCUA
rnacentral:tRNA from 1 species